GACGUAGGGCGCGAGCGUUGUCCGGAUUUAUUGGGCGUAAAGCGCGUGUAGGCGGCUUUGCAAGUCGGGUGUGAAAGCCCUCAGCUCAACUGAGGAAGUGCGCCCGAAACUGCAGAGCUUGAGUACCGGAGAGGAUGGUGGAAUUCCCCAAGUAGAGGUGAAAUUCGUAGAUAUGGGGAGGAACACCGGUGGCGAAGGCGACCAUCUGGACGGAUACUGACGCUGAGACGCGAAAGCGUGGGUAGCAAACAGG
rnacentral:rRNA from 1 species